UACGAAGGGGGCUAGCGUUGCUCGGGAUCACUGGGCGUAAAGCGCACGUAGGCGGAUCGUUAAGUCAGGGGUGAAAUCCUGGAGCUCAACUCCAGAACUGCCUUUGAUACUGGCGACCUUGAGUUCGGGAGAGGUGAGUGGAACUGCGAGUGUAGAGGUGAAAUUCGUAGAUAUUCGCAAGAACACCAGUGGCGAAGGCGGCUCACUGGCCCGAUACUGACGCUGAGGUGCGAAAGCGUGGGGAGCAAACAGG
rnacentral:rRNA from 1 species